ACCCCCCAGCGGAAAAAUGGCCAAAAAACGGGUGGGCUAUAGCCUUGGUGGGGGGCGCGGGCGAAGUUCGUCCGCCGGACUCGGAAUGGGGCGAGACUUUGCGAGGGGCCUCGGGGUGCCCGCGGGAAGUCGCGGGCACAGCCGUGUCCAAAAAUAAGCGCCCGAAGGUCGUGGUGCCAAAACCCCCCAGCGGAAAAAUGGCCAAAAAACGGGUGGGCUAUAGCCUUGGUGGGGGGCGCGGGUGAAGUUCGUCCGCCGGACUCGAAAUGGGGCGAGAC
rnacentral:lncRNA from 1 species